rnacentral:rRNA from 1 species
UACGGGGGGGGCAAGCGUUGUUCGGAAUUACUGGGCGUAAAGGGCUCGUAGGCGGCCAACUAAGUCAGACGUGAAAUCCCUCGGCUUAACCGGGGAACUGCAUCUGAUACUGGAUGGCUUGAGUUCGGGAGAGGGAUGCGGAAUUCCAGGUGUAGCGGUGAAAUGCGUAGAUAAUCUGGAGGAACACCGGUGGCGAAGGCGGCAUCCUGGACCGACACUGACGCUGAGGAGCGAAAGCCAGGGGAGCAAACGGG